AUGGAAGCUCUCGCCUCGUCGCCGCGGGCUCUCUUCGCCCGCACCGCCUCUCCGACAACGGCGGUGGCCACGUCAGCAAGAUGGAUGCCGUCAUCGAGCAGGCUUGUCAAGGCCGCCGCCGCCGCCGAGCCCGCCGGCGACGCCAAGCCGGCUGCGGCAGCCGCGGCGCCGGCGCCCAAGAAGAUCCUCAAGAAGAAGCCCGUCUACUCCAUGAAGAAAGGACAGAUUGUUCGCGUCGAGAAAGAGAAGUACCUGAACAGCAUCAAUUACCUGUCAGUGGGGCACCCACCCUUCUACAAGGGGCUAGACUACAUAUACGAAGACCGCGGUGAGGUUUUGGACAUCAGAAUCUUCGAAGAAACCGGAGAGUAUGCUCUGAUCGCGUGGGUAGGCAUUCCAACACCGCCGGCAUGGCUCCCAACUUAUAUGCUCAUCAAGUCAGACAAACUUGACUACGAGAGGAUAUGA
rnacentral:rRNA from 1 species